GGGCCCGCACAAGCGGUGGAGCAUGUGGUUUAAUUCGAUGAUACGCGAGGAACCUUACCAGGGCUUAAAUGUAGUCUGACAGGGGUGGAAACACCUCCUCCUUCGGGCAGAUUACAAGGUGCUGCAUGGUUGUCGUCAGCUCGUGCCGUGAGGUGUCAGGUUAAGUCCUAUAACGAGCGCAACCCCUGCCGUUAGUUGCCAGCAUGUAAUGAUGGGAACUCUAACGGGACUGCCGGUGCAAACCGCGAGGAAGGUGGGGAUGACGUCAAAUCAUCACGGCCCUUACGUCCUGGGCUACACACGUGCUACAAUGGCCGGUACAGAGGGCAGCCACACCGCAAGGUGGAGCGAAUCCUUAAAACCGGUCUCAGUUCGGAUCGGGGUCUGCAACUCGACUCCGUGAAGUCGGAAUCGCUAGUAA
rnacentral:rRNA from 1 species